rnacentral:rRNA from 1 species
CCUACGGGGGGCAGCAGUGGGGAAUUUUGGACAAUGGGCGCAAGCCUGAUCCAGCAAUGCCGCGUGCAGGAUGAAGGCCUUCGGGUUGUAAACUGCUUUUGUACGGAACGAAACGGCGAGCUCUAAUAAAGUUCGCUAAUGACGGUACCGUAAGAAUAAGCACCGGCUAACUACGUGCCAGCAGCCGCGGUAAUACGUAGGGUGCAAGCGUUAAUCGGAAUUACUGGGCGUAAAGCGUGCGCAGGCGGUGAUGUAAGACAGAUGUGAAAUCCCCGGGCUCAACCUGGGACCUGCAUUUGUGACUGCAUCGCUAGAGUACGGUAGAGGGGGAUGGAAUUCCGCGUGUAGCAGUGAAAUGCGUAGAUAUGCGGAGGAACACCGAUGGCGAAGGCAAUCCCCUGGACCUGUACUGACGCUCAUGCACGAAAGCGUGGGGAGCAAACAGGAUUAGAUACCCCAGUAGUC